UAGGGAAUCUUCGGCAAUGGACGAAAGUCUGACCGAGCAACGCCGCGUGAGUGAAGAAGGUUUUCGGAUCGUAAAACUCUGUUGUUAGAGAAGAACAAGGACGUUAGUAACUGAACGUCCCCUGACGGUAUCUAACCAGAAAGCCACGGCUAACUACGUGCCAGCAGCCGCGGUAAUACGUAGGUGGCAAGCGUUGUCCGGAUUUAUUGGGCGUAAAGCGAGCGCAGGCGGUUUCUUAAGUCUGAUGUGAAAGCCCCCGGCUCAACCGGGGAGGGUCAUUGGAAACUGUGAGACUUGAGUGGAGAAGAGGAGAGUGGAAUUCCAUGUGUAGCGGUGAAAUGCGUAGAUAUAUGGAGGAACACCAGUGGCGAAGGCGGCUCUCUGGUCUGUAACUGACGCUGAGGCUCGAAAGCGUGGGGAGCAAACAGG
rnacentral:rRNA from 1 species